rnacentral:rRNA from 1 species
UUGUGUGGUUAAAAAGCUCGUAGUUGGAUCUCAGUUCCGGACUGACGGUACACCGCCUGGUGCUUACUGUCACGCUCCGAACAGCUAACUAGCCCCGCCGGCUCGCACGGGGUGCUCUUCAUCGAGUGUCCCGAGUGGCCGGCACGUUUACUUUGAAAAAAUUAGAGUGCUCAGAGCAGGCUACUUUAAUGGCCUGAAUGUCUAUGCAUGGAAUAAUGGAAUAGGACCUCGGUUCUAUUUUGUUGGUUUUCGGAACCUGAGGUAAUGACUAAUAGGAACAGGCGGGGGCAUUCGUAUUGCGACGCUAGAGGUGAAAUUCUUGGACCGUCGCAAGACGAACUACUGCGAAAGCAUUUGCCAAGGAUGUUUUCAUUAAUCAAGAACGAAAGUUAGAGGUUCGAAGGCGAUCAGAUACCGCCCUAGUUCUAACCAUAAACGAUGCCAACUAGCGAUCCGCCGGCGUUAUUCCCAUGACCCGGCGGGCAGCUUCCGGGAAACCAAAGUCUUUGGGUUCCGGGGGAAGUAUGGUUGCAAAGCUGAAACUUAAAGGAAUUGACGGAAGGGCACCACCAGGAGUGGAGCCUGCGGCUUAAUUUGACUCAACACGGGGAACCUCACCAGGCCCAGACACCGGAAGGAUUGACAGAUUGAGAGCUCUUUCUCGAUUCGGUGGGUGGUGGUGCAUGGCCGUUCUUAGUUGGUGGAGCGAUUUGUCUGGUUAAUUCCGAUAACGAACGAGACUC